rnacentral:rRNA from 1 species
UGCUUAACACAUGCAAGUCGAAGGAAAACCGAUGGAAGCUUGUUUCUUUUUCUCUUAUCGACCAACGGGUGAGUGACUCGUACUCAUCCUGCUCUUCCAAGGGGGACGACUGUUGUGAACAACUGCUAAUACCUAAUACAAUCUGACCUCUGAAUCGAUGAUAUAUGAAAGGUGGACUCUACGUGUAAGCUAUCACUGACGGAGGAGAUUGCUGCUGAUUAGCUAGCUGGAGGGCUAACGGCCCACCAAGGCGAUGAUCAAUAGCCGGGCUGACAGGAUGAACGGUCACAUUGGGACUGAAACCCUACCCAAACUCCUACGGAAGGCAAUUGUGCGGAGUCUUCCACACUGAACCAAACUCUGACCGAGCAACACCACGUGACUGAGGACUGCCUUCUGCUUGUGAAGGUCUGUUAAUCCGAACAAAAGGGCUUUUUGCCAAUAACGAUAAGGAUUGACAGCACCUAAAUACAAGGCCACGGCUAACUACAUGCCAACAGCCCCGGUAAUACCUAGAUGGCUUGCGUUGACCGGAAUUAUAGGGCGUAAAUCACGCGCAUGCGGAUCAGUCAAUCUGCCUUAUCAGAUCUGCGCUUAAUCCCGUGAUGCUAUGGGAAACUGCUGAUCUAGAGUAUCUCAGAGGAAAGUGGAAUUCCUAGUGUAGCGGAGUAAUGCGUAGAUAGUAGGAAGAACUACAGUGGAGAAGGAGUCUUUAUGGAGGAGACAUGACGCUGAGGCGCGAAAGACGGGGGAGCGAGAGGGAUUAGAUAUCGAGGUAGUUCUGAUAGUAAGCGAUGGGUCACAGGAGUAGGAGGUAUCGAGCCGUUGUGUGCUGGAGUUAACGCAUUAAGUAAAGCGCUUGGCGAGUCCGAUGGCAAGUUUGAAAGUCAAAGGAAUUGUCGGGGGAAUGCACAAGCGGUGGAGUAUGUGGAGUAAUUUGAGGCAACGUGAAGAGCUUUGCCAGGUCUUGACAUUGAUGGACAGAACUAGAGGAUAGUUCUUGUUGAUAGGAAGCCAGAAAACAGUCUCUGCGAAGGUUGUCGUCAGUUGUUGUCGUGAGAUGUUGGGAUAAGUCGCGCAAAGAGCGCAACCGAUAUCAUAUGUUGUCAUCAGGUAAUGGCGGGAAAUCAUGAGAGAUUGGGGCAGACAAUGCGGAGGAAGGCGGGGAAGGGGUCAAAUCAUCAUAAAUCAUCUGGCCUGGGAUAUACGGGUAUUCCAAUGGGAGUUAAUAGACGGAAGAGAGAUCGGGAGAUGGAGCAAACGCGAGAAAUACUGUAUCAGUUUGGAUGGUAGGAUGCAAGUCGCCUACGUGAAGUCGGAAUGGUUAGUAAUCUCAGGUCAGCAUAUCACGCAGAAUACGUUGCCGGGCUUUGUAUACACCGCCCGUCACACCAGGCAAGUCGGAAGAGCCCAAAGCCGGUGGGGUAACUUUCGGGAACCAUCGGUCUAAGGUAAAGUUGAUGAUUGGGGUG